AUGAGUCUGGUCGGCAACUUUGCCUUUGGGAACUUUGAUCAUCAGGCUGAGACCGCCGGUGCUGGUCCAGAUGGCACCGCUUUCCAGCGUCGGGCUUCGAGGGCCGACGAGGAUGUGAUCGCCGAGGACCACAUCCAACAUGGCACCACCCACCACCAAACAUCAUACACCAGCACACAAACCGCCACUCGCGAGUCAGAGGGCGAGGUGAUUGCGGAGAACCGCGGCCGACAUAGCACCUCGAAUCAAGCAUAUUCUACCACACACGACGCCGCUCGCGACGAGACUCGUGGCCCGAACCAGCACCCGCUGGAAGAAUCAGAGAGCUCCGAAAGUAGAAAGGACUCCGAUCUCGACGAUGAGAAAGCGCAGGCCAGAGUCGAUUACGAACUACACCAGCUGGCCAAAUCCUUUUCCAAGAACUCGACCUGGUCGCAGAUUCCCGACAAUCCUUUCGCCGCCGAACCAGACUCGGCAUUGGACCCUCAGAGCCCCAACUUCAGAGCGCGGUCAUGGGCCAAGUCGAUGAUCAAGCUCCGAGAUGCCGAGAACAAAAAUCCCGGUCGGACCGCUGGGUUCGCCUUCCGGAAUCUAUGUGCGCACGGUUAUGGUGCCGCCACGGACUACCAAAAGGAUGUAGGCAAUGUCUGGUUGGAGGUUAUCGAGGGAGCGAAGAGUCUUCUUGGCAUGGUCAAGCCGCGACGGAUCGACAUUCUACGCAACUUCGACGGUCUGGUGGAGGCCGGAGAGAUGCUGGUCGUCCUCGGACCGCCCGGUUCAGGAUGUUCGACGUUCCUCAAAACCAUCACCGGAGAGACCCAUGGCUUCCAAGUCGAUAAAGGAUCAUAUCUGAACUACCAGGGCAUUCCUGCCGACCACAUGCACAAGUAUUUCCGAGGAGAAGCCAUCUACACCGCAGAAGUCGACGUGCACUUCCCCAUGCUGACGGUGGGAGAUACGCUCUACUUCGCCGCUCGCGCUCGUUCGCCCCGAAGCAUCCCGGGCAACGUCAACAAAGCGACGUACGCGACGCACAUGCGGGAUGUGACCAUGGCCACUUUCGGUAUCAGUCAUACCCUCAAUACCCGGGUCGGGAACGAUUUCGUGCGAGGUGUUUCUGGCGGCGAGCGUAAGCGCGUCUCGAUCGCAGAGGCGUUCCUCAGCGGAAGCCCGCUGCAGGCCUGGGAUAACAGCACGCGAGGUCUGGACAGCGCGAACGCGAUCGAGUUCUGCAAGACUCUACGGCUAAGCUGUGAGAUGAGCGGCACCACGGCUUGCGUCGCCAUCUACCAAGCACCACAAUCCGCCUACGACAUCUUCGACAAAGCGCUCGUCCUGUACGAAGGCCGUCAGAUCUACUUCGGCAAGACCACCGAAGCACGUCAAUAUUUCGAGAGGAUGGGUUUUGAGUGUCCUGAUCGUCAGACCGAUGCUGAUUUCCUCACCUCGAUGACCUCCGCACAAGAACGCAUCGUGCGCAAAGGCUUCGAACAUCAAGUCCCACGCACGCCUGAUGAGUUUGCCGCUCGCUGGAAGUCAAGCACGGAGAACGCACAAUUGCUGCGUGCCAUCGAAGCCUACGAUCAAAAGUAUCCUUUGGAAGGCGAGGGCUACCAACACUUUGUCAAGAGCCGCAAAGCUCAACAAUCGAAGCGACAAAGACUGAAGUCGCCCUAUACCCUCGAUUACAUGCAACAAGUCAAGCUCUGUCUAUGGCGUGGAUUCCGCCGACUGAUCGGUGAUCCGUCUCUGACCUUCACUCAACUGUUCGGUAAUCUGGCAAUGGCUCUCGUCAUUAGCUCUGUGUUCUUCAACCUGGGCAAAGACACCAACUCCUUCUACCAAAGAGGCGCCGUCCUCUUCUUCGCCAUCCUGAUGAAUGCUUUCGGCUCCGCCCUCGAGAUUCUGACCCUCUACGCUCAACGACCGAUUGUGGAAAAACAAAGUCGCUACGCUCUCUAUCACCCGUCCGCUGAAGCCUUCGCCUCCAUGUUGACGGAUAUGCCGUACAAGGUCAUGAACGCCAUCACGUUCAAUCUCGCGCUCUAUUUCAUGGUCAAUCUGAGGCGUGAGCCCGGUGCCUUUUUCUUCUUCGUGUUCGUCAGCUUCAUCACCACCUUGGUGAUGUCCAUGGUGUUCCGAUCCAUCGCUAGUUUCUCCAGAACGUUGUCCCAGGCCAUGGCACCUGCAGCGCUCAUCAUCCUCGCCAUCGUCGUGUUUACCGGUUUCGCCAUCCCUGUAAAUUACAUGCCUGGCUGGUGUCGGUGGAUCAAUUACAUCGACCCGGUCGCCUACGCUUUCGAAGCACUGAUGAUCAACGAAUUUCACAACCGUGAGUAUACAUGCUCGGUAAGAGUGCCGACUUACGGGUCUUUGGAAGAGUAAGUACAGCCCAAAAACAUUCGCAAGUUCGAUGAAAUGCUGACAAUGCUCUACCUCAGCCAAACGCAAGUCUGCUCUGCCGUCGGUGCGGUAGCGGGCGAGGCUUUUGUCAACGGUGACAACUACAUCAACUUGGCUUUCCAGUACUACGCGGCGCACAAGUGGAGGAACGUGGGCAUCAUCUUCGGAUUCACUGUCUUCUUGAUGUGUCUGUAUCUGGGAGCGACGGAAUUCAUCAGUGCGAAGAAGAGCAAGGGUGAGGUUCUUCUCUUCCGUCGCGGACACACUCCUGCCUCACUGCAGCAGAAGACGACGGACAUUGAAUCCGCGGACAUAGGGCAUAAUGGUGCGCAGCUCGCGAAGCAGGUAUCGACCGUCGAGGCAUCGGACAUCAUUCAGAAGCAGACUGCAGUCUUCUCCUGGAAGGACGUAUGCUACGAUAUCAAGAUCAAGAGCGAAGAGCGACGGAUUCUGGACCACGUGGACGGUUGGGUCAAGCCUGGUACCUUGACUGCGCUCAUGGGGUAAGUCGAUGGACGUUGCAUGUUUGCCCAUUUUCUCAGUACUGAUUGCUUUCUCGUGACAGUGUUUCUGGCGCCGGUAAGACUACCCUCCUCGACGUGCUCGCCACUCGUGUCACCAUGGGAGUCAUCACUGGCGAUAUGCUGGUCGACGGUCGUCAGCGCGAUUCUUCUUUCCAACGCAAAACGGGCUACGUCCAGCAACAGGAUCUUCAUCUACAGACCACCACCGUUCGCGAGGCCUUGAACUUCUCCGCCAUGCUCCGCCAACCAGCUCAUGUCUCGAGCAAGGAGAAGAAAGCCUACGUCGAUGAAGUCAUCAAGCUUCUUGACAUGGAGGAAUAUGCUGAUGCCGUGGUCGGCGUUCCCGGUGAAGGACUCAACGUGGAGCAGCGCAAACGGUUGACCAUUGGUGUUGAGCUUGCCGCCAAGCCUGAACUGCUUCUUUUCCUGGACGAACCCACCUCUGGUCUCGAUUCUCAGACAUCCUGGGCCAUUUGUGAUUUGAUGGAGAAGCUCAAGAAAUCCGGCCAGGCCAUCCUGUGCACGAUCCAUCAGCCCAGCGCCAUGUUGUUCCAACGAUUCGAUCGCCUAUUGUUUCUCGCCAAGGGAGGGAGAACGGUCUACUUUGGUGAAGUGGGCGAGAACUCGCACGUUCUGACCAAAUACUUCCAAGCCAACGGAGCUCACCCAUGUCCCCCUGACGCCAACCCUGCGGAAUGGAUGUUGGAGGUCAUCGGUGCGGCGCCCGGCUCGCACACCGACAUCGACUGGCAUCAAGUCUGGCGGGACAGCCCCGAGUACGACGAAACACAUCGCGAGCUUGACCGCCUGCGAGUGCAACGGCCGCAGGAGACGCAACCAAAGACGACGUCCAACGACAAAGCCAGCUACCGCGAAUUCGCUGCUCCCAUGCCCGUGCAAAUGUACCAAGUCACGAAACGGGUGUUCUCGCAGUACUGGCGCACGCCAUCGUACAUCUACUCGAAGGUGGCGCUCUGCCUCCUCUCGGCGCUGUUCAUUGGCUUCAUUUUCUUCGACGCGCCGCUGACCCACCAAGGCUUACAGAACCAGAUGUUCUCCAUUUUCAUGCUCUUCACCAUCUUCGGACAGAUUCUGCAGCAAUACAUGCCGCAAUUCGUGACGCAGCGUGCGCUGUAUGAGGUGCGCGAGCGGCCGUCCAAGGCGUACAGCUGGCGCGCGUUCAUGUUCGCCAACAUCCUCGUCGAGAUCCCGUGGAACGCGCUGAUGGCGGUGCUCAUCUUCUUCUGCUUCUACUACCCGAUCGGGCUCUACAAUAACGCCGUGCCAACGGACGCUGUGCACGCGCGCGGCGUCCAGUUCUUCCUGUUCACGCUGCAAUUCAUGCUGUUCGCCUCGACCUUCGGCAACAUGAUGAUCGCGGGGCUCCCGGACGCGGAGACGGGCGGCAAUCUGGGGAACUUGAUGUUCUCUCUCUGCCUCAUCUUCUGCGGCGUGCUCGCAUCCCCGACCGCGCUCCCCGGGUUCUGGAUCUUCAUGUACCGGCUCAGUCCGUUCACCUACCUCGUCGAGGGAAUGCUGACGACGGGCAUCGCGAACCAACACGUGUUCUGCGCGUCCAACGAGUUCCUCACCAUGCGCCCGGCCGCCGGCCAGACGUGCGGCGACUACCUGGCGGACUUCCGGAACACAUUCGGGGGUUACGUGCGCGACCCGAACGCGACGGACUCGUGCGACUACUGCACCUACGACGACAGCAACGUCUUCCUGGCCGGGGUGUCGCAGCACUACGACAACGCAUGGCGCGACUUCGGGAUCCUCUGGGCGUUCAUCCUGUUCAACGCGGUGGCGGCCGUGUUCUUCUACUGGUGGGCGCGAGUGCCGAAGAAGGUGCAUGCGACGAAGGUGGCACGAAAAGGGGAGGAGAAGAAGGAGAAGAAGGAUGCGAAGGCGUGAGUGAGGGUUUUCACUUUUGGGCUAUUUUUUCUCUAGAUCUUUUCCCUUUUUGGUUCCCCCUUUUGGCCACUUCUUCGGCAGGGAUAGAUUUGGAGCGACACUCGAAUUGGGUUUUGUUUUUGUCCAUUUUUCGUGGGGCAGAGAAUAGGUACCGUAGACUUGCAUCUCACGGAAGCGCAUGGAGGAAGGACGGGCUUGUUGGUGGUAGGGAGAGGGACAGCAUGGCAGAUGCAUCAUCCAUCAUGCACACUCGUAUAUACGGUACCUUGUCACCAUAUCUCUGCGAAUUUGUUUCUUGAUGAACCUGUUUCUUUUCGUUCUCUUUCCUUUUCGUGUUUCUCAUGCACACAUGUAUGUAUAUAGAUCCACAUACACAUAUACCGUCUUUCUCACCUAGUACCCAAAAGAAAAGGGAGCAAGAAGGCCAAAAAAAAGGAUGAAAGAAUGAUUCCAUCAGUGUUGUUUGCCAUCAUCUCGAUUCGAUGACAAGAUCAUCAUCAUCAUCAUCAUCAUCAUCAUCAUCACCAUCAUCGAUGAGAGUGUACAUGCUGUUCAUGGUAGGAGUGGUAGUGAUGAUGACGAUUCGACCUUUUCCUGGACAUCCGCCAGCUGCCGGAGCGGAGGAGGAGAAGAGAAUGGGAGAGGGCACAGACCGGACAAGCCACAUACGCACGCACGAUUGCACGUCCAAUGCAUCUUUUGCCGAAAGGGCAUUGGGAUGAGUACAGUACAGUAUUCUGGUUGUCGUCGUCGUUGUCGUCGUCGUCGCCGUCGUCGUCGCCGUCGUCGUGGAUGGGGGGAUGCGUGGAUGGGGGUGGCGCGGAUACUACAUCAUCAUCUGCCCUGAUGAUGGUAAUGAUGAUUUUCUCUUUUUCUCCCAGAGUCCUUCUUUUUGGGGGAGACUUUGUUUCAAAGUAGACUCGAUUCUCUCUUGUUCUCGCAUUGAACGAUGAUAACCCGACCAUCAUUACAUACAGAACUAAUAAGUACUCCAUCUACGGUUACUGUCCUGUACGCGCGCUCUAUCGCGCUGCAGUACGUCAGACCCCGGCAGUGCUGGCCCGAAAAGUGAGAGAGAAGAGAGAAGAGAGAGAGACUAAACCCACCUGAGCUUCAUCAUCCUCAUCCUUCCACCUCCCUCUACCUCUGCCUCUCUGCAUCUGUCUCUGCUUCAUCCUCCUCCUCCUUCUCCGCCUCUGCCAUAUUACCUCCUCUUCGUUUGCUUCUUCGUCUUCUUCUUCUUCCUCCUCGUCAUUCAUAAUAUCUUACUGCCGACAUCUCCAUCUCCAUCUUCAUCCCCCAUCUCCCAACCUCUCCGAGCCUGAUCCGACCCCCGGGAAACGUGCCGCAGAAACAACACCACCACCACCACUUUAAAUCCCGAAAAGAAAAGAGCUAUCAAAAGAGACGAACCGGCGCCCGAUCCGAUCAUGUUCGGCCGCCAGAAGAAGCGAAAGGACUCGCCCGGCAGCACCUCCGACCUCGACCUCGACCGCCGUCCGCCCCCGACCCAAGCCCAGAUCAAACGAGCCACGCGCUCCCGUUUCGUCUGGGCCCUGAUCGCAUCCUUCUGCCUCCUCGUCUCCGUCAUCUUCGUCAUCCUCGUCGAGGUCGGCAACACCAGCAUCAAGUCGGUCCGCAACCACAUCUACUUCAUCCGUCUCGAUCUGACCGACAUCAUCCCCACCUCCGUCCCCUCCGUCGGUCUCGUCAACAGCCUCGCCCAGACCCUCGGCCUGCAUGACUUCUACACCGUCGGCCUCUGGAACUUUUGCGAGGGUUACAAUGGUCAAGGCACCACCUCUUGCUCCGAUCCGAAGACCCUUUACUGGUUCAACCCUGUCGCCAUCAUCCGCGGCGAACUGUUGGCCGGAGCCACCAGUACGUUUCUCUUAUUUUCUCCUUUCUUUCUCUCUAUCUCUCUCAUCUCCAACAUCCAUUUCUCAUCGCUGACCCUGCUUCUUUCCUCCCUUAGUCGCCCUGCCCGCCCAGAUCAAUGACGUUCUCACCCUUCUGCGCAUCGUCUCGCAUUUCAUGUUCGCCCUCUUCCUGACCGGCGUCUGUCUCAGCUUCUUGCUGAUGUUCCUCUUGCCGCUCGGCGUCUACUCCCGUUGGGCCGACCUGCCCCUCGGCAUCUUCACCUUCCUCUCCGCCCUCUUCACCACCGUCGCCGCCGUCCUGGCCACGGUCACGUUCAUCGUCAUGCGCAACGCCAUCACCAGCGUCGCCGACCUCAACAUCGGCGCCAGCCUCGGCAUCGAAAUGUUCGUCUUCAUGUGGAUCGCCGCCGCCUUCUCCAUCCUGGCCUGGCUCAUCACCAUGGGCAUGUGCUGCUGCUGCGCCAGCCGUCGCGACGUCCGCACCGGCCGUCGCACCGGCAGUCGUAAGGCCUACCUGGACGACCCCGCCCAGACCGAGAAGAUUGACGGCAGCGACGAAGAGAAGCCGAAAAAACGCGGCUUCUUCCGACGCAAGUCAUGA
rnacentral:sRNA from 1 species